AAUACGUCAGUAUGUCCGCCCAAUAAUCUAAUACAGUACGCUAUAGUUAGGUAUUCACUGUAAGAUUGUUAUUAUCGAUUUACGAGGUAAUAUUAUGUAGGUACUUAAAAAGUUUAUGUUUAAGAGGACUUUAUGGUAGCGUUUGCGAUCGCUGUACUCUCUAACGGAUAAUACCAAUAGGAAAAAUUUGUUUUUUGGUAUUUUUAACAUUACUUAUUCGGGCUCUAAUACAGACUUCGUAUAAAACUCGUUUUUCCAAAUUAAAGCCUGUCAGCACAUUUUCUAUAUAUUUCAAAUAUUUUCAAAAGUAUUAAGUA